ACCAUGACCUUACACGGAUGAGAUAUGGGGUCACUUGAUUGGAUAUCACACUUCUCCUCCACUAGCCGUACUUCUUUUGAAAUCACAGGAAUUAACUUUGUAACCAUGACACCUGAUCUUUACCGAGAACGCCGAUUGAGUAGGAAAAAAAAUUACAUAAAUUUUGCACAUUAAGAGUCAUGAUUGGAGUAAGGGACGACUUCUUGGCGACC